rnacentral:rRNA from 1 species
UACGUAGGGGGCAAGCGUUGUCCGGAAUUAUUGGGCGUAAAGAGCGCGUAGGCGGUCCGAUAAGUCGGCUGUGAAAGUCAAGGGCUCAACCCUUGAAAGCCGGCCGAUACUGUCGGACUAGAGUCCGGAAGAGGCGAGUGGAAUUCCCGGUGUAGCGGUGAAAUGCGCAGAUAUCGGGAGGAACACCAAUGGCGAAGGCAGCUCGCUGGGACGGUACUGACGCUGAGGCGCGAAAGCUAGGGGAGCAAACAGG